rnacentral:rRNA from 1 species
AUUGAACGCUGGCGGCAUGCCUUACACAUGCAAGUCGAACGGCAGCACGGGAGCUUGCUCCUGGUGGCGAGUGGCGAACGGGUGAGUAAUACAUCGGAACGUACCCAGGAGUGGGGGAUAACGUAGCGAAAGUUACGCUAAUACCGCAUAUUCUGUGAGCAGGAAAGCGGGGGAUCGCAAGACCUCGCGCUCUUGGGAGCGGCCGAUGUCGGAUUAGCUAGUUGGUGAGGUAAAAGCUCACCAAGGCGACGAUCCGUAGCAGGUCUGAGAGGAUGAUCUGCCACACUGGGACUGAGACACGGCCCAGACUCCUACGGGAGGCAGCAGUGGGGAAUUUUGGACAAUGGGGGCAACCUGAUCCAGCCAUGCCGCGUGAGUGAAGAA